rnacentral:rRNA from 1 species
AACGAACGCUGGCGGCAGGCCUAACACAUGCAAGUCGAACGCCCCGCAAGGGGAGUAGCAGACGGGUGAGUAACACGUGGGAACCUUCCCUAUACUACGGAAUAGCCCAGGGAAACUUGGAGUAAUACCGUAUACGCCAGAGAGGGGAAAGAUUUAUCGGUAUAGGAUGGGCCCGCGUAGGAUUAGCUAGUUGGUGAGGUAAUGGCUCACCAAGGCGACGAUCCUUAGCUGGUCUGAGAGGACGACCAGCCACACUGGGACUGAGACACGGCCCAGACUCCUACGGGAGGCAGCAGUGGGGAAUAUUGGACAAUGGGCGCAAGCCUGAUCCAGCCAUGCCGCGUGAGUGAUGAAGGCCUUAGGGUUGUAAAGCUCUUUUGCCGGGGACGAUAAUGACGGUACCCGGAGAAUAAGUCCCGGCUAACUUCGUGCCAGCCGCCGCCGUAA